AAAGAAUGCAACACACCACGCCACUCCCACAAAUAGAAGACAGACCAAGGUGCUAACAGAGUGGAUGACUACUGGGCAAGGGAGGAAAAGAAUGCAACACACCACGCCACUCCCACAAAUAGAAGACAGACCAAGGUGCUAACGGAGUGGAUGACUACUGGGCAAGACAGCUGGUUGGCAAGGGACUGAAUGUGGAGGCAGGGCAAGGGAGGGAAAGAAUGCAACACACCAAUCCCACAAAUAGAAGAGACUGAGGUGCUAACAGAGUGGAUGACUACUGGGCGACACAGCUGGUUGGCAAGGGAAUGAAUGUGGCCAGAAGGAGUGCUGGAACAGGGAGAAUUAGGGACGUUCCUGCCUUUGCCACACCUAUAAGAAAAGUUCUGUGGUGUUUGAAAAAUAGAUACCCCCAAAAAUAAACUAACAGCUGGUAGGGGAGGAACUGAACGUGGCCAGAGGGAGUGAUGGGACAGGGAGAAUUAUAGACAGUUCUGCCUUUGCCAAACCCAUAGGGAAAAUUCUGUGGUGUUUGAAAUAUAGAUACCCAAAAAAUAAACUGACAGCUGGUAGGGGAGGAACUGAAUGUGGCCAGAGGGAGUGAUGGAAUAGGGAGAAUUAAACACUUCUGCCUUUGCCACACCCAUAGGAAAAAUUCUGUGGUGUUUAAGAUAUAAAUACCCCAAAAUAAUAAAUGACAGCUGGUUGGCAAGGGUCUGAAUGUGGCCAGAGGGAGUGAUGGAAUAGGGAGAAUUAAACACUUCUGCCUUUGCCACACCCAUAGGAAAAAUGCUGUGGUGUUUAAGAUAUAAAUACCCCAAAAAGUAAACUAAAACCGAAGAAAAUACAAAUGCUUCAACCUCUAAAACUAGCAGCAGGGUUCCAUAAAAAAGGACUUUAAGGUUCAAUUCACACAAGCACUAUAUUCCUGUAGUGCUGCAGGUGAACCAUAUAGGGUAAGAAUGUAAAGGAAAAACACUAUAGCAUGAAGACAGGCCUCCUAUACAGCCUACCGCACAGCCAUUCUAACGUACAGAAAAAAUAUGUUCAUGUGACGCAACCCUAAGAGGACACACCAUAAACAGAUGAGUUGAUGAUAGCCAAAUGCCUCGCCAAAUCUGUAAAUCUUUAUA